CAGCCGCCACGGUAAAACGAAGGGGGCUAGCGUUGCUCGGAAUGACUGGGCGUAAAGGGCGCGUAGGCGGAUUGUUUAGUUAGCCGUGAAAUUCCUGGGCUUAACCUGGGGACUGCGCUUAAUACAGGCAGUCUAGAGUGAGGAAGAGGGUUGUGGAAUUCCCAGUGUAGAGGUGAAAUUCGUAGAUAUCGGAAGGAACACCAGUGGCGAAGGCGGCUACCUGGACUGACACUGACACUGAGGCGCGAAAGCGUGAGGAGCAAACAGGAUUAGAUACCCGCGUAGUCCCUGUCUCUUAUAC
rnacentral:rRNA from 1 species